rnacentral:snRNA from 1 species
UAAACUAAUAGUGCCUGCUUUCGCAGCAUUGGAAUGACACAAAGGAGAUUAGCAUGGCCCCUGUGCAGGGAUGGUGUCUACAGUAACAAAUAAUACAAUUUCAA